ensembl:misc_RNA Metazoa_SRP Metazoan signal recognition particle RNA
GCCGGGCAUGGUGGCGCAUGCCUGUAAUCCCAGCUACUCGGGAGGCUGAGGCACAAGAAUUGUUUGAACCCGGGAGGCAGAGGUUGUGGUGAGCUGAGAUCUCACCACAACACUCUAGCCUGGGUGACACAGCGAGACCCUGUCUUAA